AGCCAUUAGUAGUAGAAACAUACAAACAGCCGUUAGGCAUCUGCAGUUCCUGAGACUGGGUAAUAAAUAAAUGUCAGGGAACGGCUGGGUUAAAAUUCCUAGCCAAAUAAGGUAACUGACCAAGGCCCGCCAGAUAAGACCCCAGCUCCCAACCACCAAUUAGAGACUUUCGCCGUUUUUUUAACUUAGCAACCUGGCUAAUAGCUAACUGCCACAUCUGCUUCUGUAACCCCGCAUUCGCUUGCUCUGCCCUAUAAGAACCCCGUAGUCUGUGAGCCAGGCGCGACUCUCAUCUGCAGCCCUUUUUGGGCACCGUGUCUCUGGACACCCCGAGGGUUCGCCCCUGCGCAGGUAAAGCUUGGCCACCAAAUUUAUAAUUAGACUAUUAUUUUGUAAUCAAUAAAAUUAGAGAUCUUUGAAACCUAUCUUCAUCUCCGAGAGCGUGCAUUGACUCAUCUGUUGCCUACAACAUUUGGAGGCCCCAGCGAGAUUCGCACGUGCCCUCGGAGAACCCAUCUGUAUGCCGGCCCGAAUAUGACCUGACCAGAAUGACAGCGGUCCAGUAAUGCCAGCCUUUGGACACCAAGCCUGCGAUGUCCGGGUGACAGCCAACUGACCAGGACCCUGUGAGGUCUUUCCCCUUACAGGAAAGACUCCCUCCGUGCUGCUCCCCUUCAGGGUACCCCCCAACCCAAGGGUAAAUAAGACAGCGUCCAUUUCCAGCUUGGAAGAAGUUACAAGCAGAUGAGACCUCCGUCCCUUUUCCUUUAUAUAAUUAUGAAGUAGGUAUAAAUCUAAAAAGAAGAAUAUUAAUACAGAGUGCAUCCACAGGGAGCCCCAGAAAAGAUUUGAGAUGAGAUCCAAGGUUCAAGGUAUCCAAGAGAUAUUAAGGUAUACUUACCACUCCCCGGGAGACAGGGACGAAUAGAGCGGGGCCAGUGAGAGAUGUUGUACAUAGCAACAGGUUUGCAGCUGACCUCUAAGGUAAUUAUUUGACAUAUAGCUUUUGGCUAGUUUCAUAGAUAUAUUGAAUAGUAUGGCCAGACUUAGAACUAAGGAAAUAAAGUCGCUUACCCAGGAUAUGGCUAGGAGCAGAGCCCCUGAGGGGGGAGGCCUGUGUCAGAGCUUAGAAAAGAUCAACUCCAGGCCAUGAGGGGAUAAACUACCCAGGUGAAAGAGGGCACCGCAUAGUUUAAGGCAGAGUGCCAACCCCUGCAGCUUUGGUGAAAGAGGCCCAUGUGGCUUUGGGGUUCCCCCUUUGGCUGUGUAGCCUAGAAGGCAAGAGAGACUUUGACUAGAACUUAGUACAAAAAAGGACCUCUUGCCAGUGGACUGUGAGGGAGUGCCACAUAACUUUAGAUUGGCUAAAGAUCCUGCCUGAUACAGCUGAUGUGCCAGCAACCUGAAACACAGAUGUGUAUUCUUUCUUAAUUUGCAGUACCCGGAGUUAGGACAGUAUAAGUAAAGAGCAAAGACAUAAAAGUAUUUUAAGUUGAAAAAAACUUAGUUUCUGACUGCUCUUUUACAAUAAUAGCACUAGAAUUAUAGGUGAUAACAAGGAGGAUUAUGUGCAGCCUUAGGGGAAGAGUGCUGUUUUUAUGCCAACCAUUCGGGGGUAAUCAGAGAAAGCAUAAAGAUGCUAACCAAGAGACUAAAAGAAAGAGAACAAGAGGAACAGACCUCUUCAUGGUAUGCCUCUCUGUUUAAAGCUUCCCCUUGGCUGACCACGCUUAUUUCCGCAUUAGCUGGCCCUAUACUUAUCCUAUUGCUUGCCCUGACUGCAGGACCCUGGAUCUUGAAUAAGAUUUUUGCAUUCAUCAGGGACAGGAUUGAUGCCAUCAAGCUUAUGGUAUUGUCCCAACCAUAUACUAUCCUGCCUCAGGAUGACCGGCAGUCAAUGGUUUAACUGCUACCUAACCGGAGGGGGGAAUGUAAUAGCCAUUAGUAGUAGAAACAUACAAACAGCCGUUAGGCAUCUGCAGUUCCUGAGACUGGGUAAUAAAUAAAUGUCAGGGAACGGCUGGGUUAAAAUUCCUAGCCAAAUAAGGUAACUGACCAAGGCCCGCCAGAUAAGACCCCAGCUCCCAACCACCAAUUAGAGACUUUCGCCGUUUUUUUAACUUAGCAACCUGGCUAAUAGCUAACUGCCACAUCUGCUUCUGUAACCCCGCUUUCGCUUGCUCUGCCCUAUAAGAACCCCGUAGUCUGUGAGCCAGGCGCGACUCUCAUCUGCAGCCCUUUUUGGGCACCGUGUCUCUGGACACCCCGAGGGUUCGCCCCUGCGCAGGUAAAGCUUGGCCACCAAAUUUAUAAUUAGACUAUUAUUUUGUAAUCAAUAAAAUUAGAGAUCUUUGAAACCUA